UGGUUAGGUAUCCUCCAACAAAAACAAACAAACAAACAAACAAACAAACAAACAAAAAGACAAACUGCUCAUAGAAUUCUGCUUUUCAUUCUACAAGAAGAUGGAAAGAUACAACUCAAGUUGGGAAGUAUCCAGUCUACCCAGGAAGGGACAGGAAGAGGACUUUUUUAUGCCAAAUAGCACAUCCUAUCUCUUAUCUCUGAGAUGAGUCCAAAAUGUGUGGCAGGAUGUCUGCAGACAUCAUGCAAGGAAGAUGGUCUCCUCUAAGGCACUGUAGCCUUUGACUGCUGAGGCAGCCAUCGGGGCCACAGCAGCUCUUGGUCACCACCGUGCUGAUGGGAAGAAAGGGGAUUAUCUAGAAAACAAAGAAAGACAUCAUCAUGGCUGCAUAUGAAAAUAACUGGGGCAACUAUAUAAACCCCAGAAGUCUAAGCCAUAGUUCCCAUGACUUUAGUUGAGAAAAUAAAAUCCAGUAUAGUUCAGGUGGCUAGGAGCAGAAGCCCAUGUGUGCCUGGGAUACACAGCCGCAUCAGCAGGAUGCUCUGUGUUAGCAUUCUUUACUUCUCAGAGUGUAGCGGCCCAGGGAUGCAAGAUGAAGCCUGAUGUCUAUGCUUUCUGACUUUUAUGAUCACAGAAGGCACACAUUGUCCAUGCAAGGCUGAUCUUGGCUUAGAGAUGUAUUUUGUUUGGCUCGGACUGGAUUCUUUUUAGUCAAGCCAAUAUUUAAAAAUCUGAUAUAGCACAUCGUUCUUUGAACUUUCAGCCCCCUUUGAGAGAUCAAAAGCUCUGACACUCGGGGUCUCCCAUUCUGCUGUGCUGUCCGCUGGAGCAGAGUGGCCGUUGCUGACCUUCUUUCCAGAGCCCAGAGCCCUGGGCUCAGGAGUUAGCCAUCACGCAGGGAGGGAAGAGGGGCUACACCUUUGCCAUGUCCUCAACACCAGGGCUGCUCUCCUCUGCAAACUCUUGAUUUUCUAAUUAGCUUGGGAGCCUUAGGAUUAGAGUUCUCCAUAAAAGGAAGAGUUUGGGCCCAUUGGAACCUUAGUCAGGCAACAGAAAUUGAAUUCACAGUUCUGUGAUAUGAAGCCCAGGCUUCAAAGAGACCGAUUCCAAGACACAAAAGUCACAGACAGCAUAGUCAGCACACAGUGGUGUUUGCAUACAACCCCUGCACUUCCACAAAUCUCUCUCUCUCUCUCUCUCUCUCUCUCUCUCUCUCUGUCUCUCUCUCUCUCUCUCUGUGUGUGUGUGUGUCUGUCUGUCUGUCUAUUUGUCUCUCUUUGUCUCUCUCUCUGUGUCUCUGUGUCUGUGUCUGUCUCUGUCUCUCUCUCUCUGUCUCUCUCUCUCUCUCUGUGUGUGUGUGUGCAUGUGUGUGUGUGUGUGUGUGUGUGUGUGUGUGUGUGUGUGUAGGCCAUCAGUAUAUGCUAAGUAUUUUCUUCAACCAGUCCUCAGCAUAUGCUUCUUUGGACAGUAGUCUCACUGAAGUAGGAGUCCUGCUGGACUUGCUGGCCAGUACACUGGAGAUGCUCCACCUCCCCAGCGCUGAGAUCCUAGUGACCUGAACUCAGGUCCUCAUGCUUGUCCCACAAACACUUUACACUGAGCCAUCUCUGGAUCCCAGCCCUGUAUACUUUUACAUCAUGUCUAUAAUCCUCAUAAUACCAAAUUCAUUGUGAAUGCUGUGCAUAUAUCCACAGCCUGUGUCCCAGAGAACAACACCC
rnacentral:lncRNA from 1 species